CCUAGGAUGUUGUUUGACUUCUCUCGGAG
rnacentral:tRNA from 1 species